rnacentral:miRNA from 1 species
GCUUCAGUAAGGCUCAGCAAU